UUCUUUUUUAGGUUUGGUUCUUUGGGAAGGAUAUCUAAAGGUUCCGAAGAAGAAAUAGUGGGAGACCAGAAGAGUUUGUUGGUGAAGAAAUUGGUAGCUCAUCUCGAUAUUUUACUUGAUUCAUCUUUGCUUCUCCUCUAAUCAUCUGAUCUAAAUGGAGGUGGAAUACCGAUGUUUGGUUUGUAAUGUUCCUGCUGGUACCACCAGUGAGAUCUGGCCGGCUAAACAAAGAUGCACAAUUGGAUUUGUCACUUUUCAUAAGAAAGAGGAUAUGGAUGCUGCCAUUAAUGGCACAAAUCUCAUUGGCCAGACGCAACUUGGGGUAUCAGUAGCGGAACGCAGAGGCUACGCCUACUUACUUGCGGGUGGUGAUGAUGAACAAGUGGUAGUAGUGACCAAACUGGCCAAAACCAAGGUGGUGGUGGCUUUUCUAAGUAGCCCUUGGGAGACGAAUCAGAAGAACUAUAUGUUUACUAAUCAAAUCUGGAUCACUAUCUUUCGGGUCAUGAUGUUCGAGGGCUGAACUUUGUUUAUUUCACUACGUCUUAUGUAUCUAUUCAGUAGUCAAAAGGAAGCUUUCGGUUGAUAUUAUUACCAUGAAUUGAUAUGAAGUGAAAACCGUUUGUUAAGAUAAAAUGCACUGCAUCUGUG